UACGGGGGGAGCAAGCGUUGUCCGGAAUCACUGGGCGUAAAGGGCGCGUAGGUGGCGCUGCAAGUCGGUGGUGAAAGCUCGUCGCUUAACGACGAGUCGGCCAUCGAAACUGCAGGGCUGGAGCACUGUAGGGGCAGAUGGAAUUCCGGGUGUAGCGGUGGAAUGCGUAGAGAUCCGGAAGAACACCAGUGGCGAAGGCGGUCUGCUGGGCAGUUGCUGACACUGAUGCGCGACAGCGUGGGGAGCAAACAGG
rnacentral:rRNA from 1 species